AAGUCGUAACAAGGUUUCCGUAGGUGAACCUGCGGAAGGAUCAUUAACACGUAUCCAACGUAAAAAACCCCCCUGUGAACAUUCAAACCUGCUCUCGUAGCCCAGUGCGAUCCAGCAAUCCCGGUAAAUCAUUGUCGAACAGUAUUGAUUCGGGACUUCUGACAAAUGAGAAGUUACAGUUACGAUUGAGCGGAGAUAGCUGCAUGGCAUCCCGAAGCAGUCAGUGUCUGAAAGUGUCAUUGAUUGUCUAAGGACUCGCCUCAACGAUUGCCAGACCCCUUUACAACCCCAUUACCUCUGUGAGUCGCGGGAAACUAGCGGCUAAAAAACCUCGAACAACUGUUAACAAUGGAUAUCUUGGUUC
rnacentral:misc_RNA from 1 species